rnacentral:rRNA from 1 species
GACGAACGCUGGCGGCGUGCUUAACACAUGCAAGUCGAACGCUGAAGCCUAGCUUGCUGGGUGGAUGAGUGGCGAACGGGUGAGUAACACGUGAGUAACCUGCCCUCUUCUUUGGGAUAACGCCCGGAAACGGGUGCUAAUACUGGAUAUUCACUGAUCUUCGCAUGGGGGUUGGUGGAAAGGUUUUUUCUGGUGGGGGAUGGGCUCGCGGCCUAUCAGCUUGUUGGUGGGGUGAUGGCCUACCAAGGCUUUGACGGGUAGCCGGCCUGAGAGGGUGACCGGCCACAUUGGGACUGAGAUACGGCCCAGACUCCUACGGGAGGCAGCAGUGGGGAAUAUUGCACAAUGGGCGAAAGCCUGAUGCAGCGACGCCGCGUGAGGGAUGGAGACCUUCGGGUUGUAAACCUCUUUCGCUCAUGGUCAAGCCGCAGCUUUGGGUUGUGGUGAGGGUAGUGGGUAAAGAAGCGCCGGCUAACUACGUGCCAGCAGCCGCGGUGAUACGUAGGGCGCGAGCGUUGUCCGGAAUUAUUGGGCGUAAAGGGCUUGAAGGCGUUUGGCCACCACUGCCCUGAAAUCCUCUGGGUUAACU